GACGAACGCUGGCGGCGUGCUUAACACAUGCAAGUCGAACGGAAAGGCCCCUUUGGGGGUACUCGAGUGGCGAACGGGUGAGUAACACGUGAGUAACCUGCCCUUGACUUCGGGAUAACUUCAGGAAACUGGGGCUAAUACCGGAUAGGAAUCCUUGCUGCAUGGUGGGGGUUGGAAAGCUUCGGCGGUUUUGGAUGGACUCGCGGCUUAUCAGCUUGUUGGUGGGGUAGUGGCUUACCAAGGCUUUGACGGGUAGCCGGCCUGAGAGGGCGACCGGCCACAUUGGGACUGAGAGACGGCCCAGACUCCUACGGGAGGCAGCGGUGGGGAAUAUUGCACAAUGGGCGGAAGCCUGAUGCAGCAACGCCGCGUGCGGGAUGACGGCCUUCGGGUUGUAAACCGCUUUCAGCAGGGGCGAAGCUUGUGGUGACGGUACCUGCAGAAGAAGCACCGGCUAACUACGUG
rnacentral:rRNA from 1 species